rnacentral:rRNA from 1 species
UACAGAGGGGGCAAGCGUUGUUCGGAAUUACUGGGCGUAAAGGGCGCGUAGGCGGCCUUCUAAGUCGAACGUGAAAUCCCUGGGCUCAACCCAGGAACUGCGUCCGAUACUGGAAGGCUUGAAUCCGGGAGAGGGAUGCGGAAUUCCAGGUGUAGCGGUGAAAUGCGCAGAUAUCAGGAAGAACACCCGUGGCGAAGGCGGCUCUCUGGUACGUGACUGACGCUGAGACGCGAAAGCGUGGGGAGCAAACAGG